GAAAAAGUAUACAAUCCUCUGACCAUUUCUCUAACAGGUAAGCAUGUUCUUUCCAUUACGUGUUCCGUAUGCCAUAUUGAUCGUCCCAAUAUUGUAACUUUCCCAUUAUUACUAAUUUGACAUUGCUAAUCUAUUUUCUCUAACAACAUGUAUGAAACCCGACUUAUCUAAAUUUGCCUACUUACAUUUUAACUUCAACCUUUAACCAUAAGAGAACUGCUUAAUUUGUAUCUAAAAUCUUUUGAUUUUGUCAUCUUGAUAUAAAUAUGAAAUUUGUGUAAAUAGUGAAGUUGAUAUCUUAAUAGGAGCUUGGCCUAACUAUUUUUGAUAUGUUCCUUUUCAAUAAUUUACGGGAACGACAAACAGUAAUGUCCAGGCAUUCAAAAGGAGAUAUGUGCAAGGAAGGAGUUGAAGAGCUGAUGUUUCCAGGACAGAUUGCAAUUGCUAGAAUACUUCUUUUCAUUUGAAUUUCUUUUGUUUAUAACUUACUAGAUCACCCCUUCAACCAAAUCAUUCAUAACUUGAAUAAGUUGCUUCAUUGAAAAUUGUGGCUUUUAUGGUUGAAAUAAGUUCGAACAAUACUUUGUUUACCACAGGCUUACUAUGUUGGGCCCGUGCUAAGCACGGGCCAUGCCUUUCUAGCUUAUUUAGAAGUGGAAGUAGGGAAGGACGAACAAGGGCAAAUAGGUAAUUCUAAUAUUAACUUUGGGAUAAUUCCUAAUGUAAAUAGUACAUUAUAAUGGGCCCAUCUGUCAUAGAUAUAUGACCUACUCUAUUAACACGUGUAUUGCUCUUUAUUUCUCAAGAAACACGUGUGCUACUAAUUGUGUUGUCUUUUUCAUUGGAACAUUUAACAAAAAACUUGUGUAAAGUGAGCUUAUUGUUCUUCUUCUGGGAAUGAUUUCUACCGUCCCUUCAGUUUUAAAUCCCUUUCCCACUGGUAUUAUACCUUUUCCUGCCAGUGUAGAACCUAGCAGAUAUCGAUUAAUCUAAUUUUAUGUUAUUUUUAUUUUGCCUUUAGGUCAAUUUUUCAUUGGAUUGGUUUGAAUUUUCUUUCAAUUUUGUUGAUUUCUUGGGUAUUUAGGGUUGUUAUACCGUUCCAUGCACUACAUUUUAGAGUUCAUUGUAAUUUGUAGCACUGGCCGUUUUUCUCCUUCUCCUCUCCGACUUGCCUAUUUACAAAUUUGUAUUUAAUAUAAUAAUUUCUCCUAUUCAGGUCUAUUACUUCAAGGAGAUAGGGGAGAAUUGCAAGCAUGAGAUGCCGGAAUGGAGCAGAAGCUUGAAAUUCAAACAAUCUAUCAAAUUUUUAUAUCGUUAUACAUCAGGUAUACCGACCUCAAUUUUUCCAAAUCAAACCAAGAAAAUAUAGGUUCUCCCCUUUUUUAUUUACCGACUAUGAAUUUCUGAUUUGAGUAGAGAUUGCAACACUAAAUUCCUUAUAGGGUGAGUUCACAAUUUUGCGGUCUACAUGAGUUACAUUCUGCUACCACAACAAUUAGUCUUCUAAUUUUUCUUCAACACCCAUACUUUUAUCUAACUCUGUUGGAGGCUAAUGGAGAUUAAACAAACAACAAACUACCUUAAGUUGAUGACAUGAUGGUUAACCUUAAAAUACACAUAUCUCUUUUUCUGAAAAUUGGCACGGACUAGCACGAAUCAACAGGCAAGUUGGUAAAUUAUUUUUUGUCAUUGAUGUUAUGAUAAACAAAGUCGUGCUAUCAUAUGAAUGGAUUGUUGGUGUUCUGUGGUAAUAGGAAGUUCUACUUUAAAGUUUACAGGCUAGCUUCCUGGUACGUAUGAAUGACAAGACUCAAAUUGGACAUAGAAGACGGUUUCCAUGUUCUAAGGUAUGAAACUUACCUUUAAUAUGUCUCUCAUUUUUCUUGAUUUUGGUCUCUGCAUUAUUAGAUAAUAUAAUGUAUCACAUGAAAAUUGACGAGGGUCAUAAAUGUCUAGCAUGUAUUGUUUGCAUCAGACGGUUUUGGUUGAGCUUUAGUGGUGGAGUAGCAAUUCUAUUCUGAAUUUAUUGCCUUUAAACCUUCAUGCUCUAGAGUACUGUAGAUCAGGUGGACCUCAAUAGGGAUCUUCUCUUUUCCCGUGACACAUUUCUGUUUUUGAGGCGAUCUCUUUUUCUCAAUCUGACCAUUUAUAUCUACUGAUUGUUGAACCCAAAAAAAAAACUUUAAAAUAUCUAUUGAUUGUGUUCGCCAUGUCCAGUGGUUUAACAUUUUUAAAGCUUCGCCUUUAUGCAUUCUAAGCUAACAUACUAUUAUGUGUUAAUUACUGCCACCAUCUUAAUGGUUUAGUGAGAGCAUUCUUCGUUUUGCCUGCGUGCUUAUCCCGAUUUCUUGCAUUUGUUUACUUUCUCACCAUAUUUUUGUUGCUACUUUUAUUUUGGUCUCAUGUUUUUCAUAUGCAUUAGUUAGAUCUGCUGGUUUAUACUGAUAUGAUAUUGUAGCUUUCUUUGGAUGAAGUUCAUUAUUUUGACAGUAGUUGAUUUAUAUUUUCUGUUAGUAGAAUUCAAAUAUAUUACUAAGUUGCGUUGUAAAUUGGCAUUAUGGAACUACUGAAUUCUGGAACAUAUUUUCCUGCAGAAAUAUGCUUGCUCUUCAAUACAUAUUUUAGGAAUAUACUAAAAUAUAUGAGAUACAAAUUCAUUACAAAUACGUAAAACUCUACGCAAGAACAUUAGCCAAAUAUCAAUAUUCAUGUUUUUAGUAAUAGGAAUCUCUAUAUCUAGACAACAAGACACACUUCUCUGUUACGAGUACAGUUGUUUGGCUCUGCAAUUAGUUUCAACAAACCUGCACAUUAACUUAAGAUGCUAUCUUCCAAUUGCUUAAAUGUCUCUCAAAUUAGUAGCUCUUGCCACUUGCUUACCCCAAAGAAAACCAUUGUUGAUGCACCACUUUGACAAUGUAAUAGGAGUGCAGCAAACGAAAUCAUUAUCAAAGUUGGAUAGGCUAUAGGCAAGUUCUUAAGUAAUUGAGUCUAUUCUCCAGAUUCGGGUCCCUUUGGAGGAUGUGGAGUAGGCGGG
rnacentral:lncRNA from 1 species